rnacentral:rRNA from 1 species
UACGUAGGUGGCAAGCGUUGUCCGGAUUUAUUGGGUUUAAAGGGUGCGUAGGCGGCAUUUUAAGUCAGUGGUGAAAUACUUCAGCUUAACUGGAGAGGUGCCAUUGAUACUGGGAUGCUUGAGUACUGAUGAGGUAGGCGGAAUGGACGGUGUAGCGGUGAAAUGCUUAGAUAUCGUCCAGAACACCGAUAGCGAAGGCAGCUUACUAAGGAGUAACUGACGCUGAGGCACGAAAGUGUGGGGAUCAAACAGG